rnacentral:lncRNA from 1 species
CCUUAUUAAGAGGGGCACGGAAUAAAAUUAGAAACUAAUAUAUGCUGAAAUAACAACAAGAUCUUGACUUCAUGGUCAUUGGAAGGCUCUAUAAUGUAUUUACCGAUCUCUAAUUUUUAUUACAGGGAUAAUGAUAUAUCCUAUUGACCUAUUUAAAAUCAACCCACAACACUAUCACCAGAUGUUUUCCCUUAUUCUUAUAUUUAAAAGAUAAAAUUUGAAUUUUUAACCUUAAGUUCGCAGUUGAUUUUGAGCUUUUUUCAUUGAAGUUUAUUUUCUAGCCUUAGAUUUUAGAUUGCUAAGAAUAUGUAUAUAAAAGGUUUUUUUCAUAAAAUAUUUUUUAUUUAAAAAUAUAUCAUAUGGAAAAGUCAAACAAUUAUCCCUAUGAUAUGGAUCUGCCACACAGUCAAUUCUUGCCCAUGAGUUCGUCAGUAAAAAUUAAUUUCAAUGCUAGUCUGACCAUGCGGUAAUGAUAAGUGGCUUCAUUGUUUGACUUGAUGCUUGUGCGGAAGCUUGACCUUCACACGAUUUCUAGGCAUAUAUGCGUGCUGGUAGUAGAACUGAGACUAAUCUGUUCAACUGUGGCUCGAAUAUGCAGAUUCUUAGUUUCUCUAAUACUCCUGAUGCCUCCCAGACUUAGGGCUGUGUGAUGUUGAUACACGACAUAACAACACAAGGGAUGUUUGCACCUUUACAGAUGCAGUAGAGCACUUGGAAUACACUGAAGGUUAUGUGCAGGAUUCUGCUUGUGUGAUGUGUUGCUCAAAAGAAUUCUGCUUUGCAGUUCUUUUAUUGGUGUAGUCACAUAAUUUCCAUUGAAGGUGCGUACGAGUGAUCAACCAGCCACAAUUACACUGC